rnacentral:misc_RNA from 1 species
AAAGCACAAACCACAGAACAGAUUAUUUAAAACUUUCUAAAACUAAAACAAUAACUGUCAUGAUUUUUUCUAAGGAAGUUCAAAGAAUGAGGUCUCUAAAACUUAAACUGGUAAGAAUAUCCUAUCACUUAACAUCGUCAAAGCCCAAAUAGCCUAGGUCAGAUGGAAACUCCACAACAUAUGAAACCAAUACGAUCAACAUCAAUAACUAAUUUAAGUACAUAAACAGAUAGCAUGAUCGAGUUCUUAUUAAAAUUUGAAGGGAAAAACAGUAGUGCAUUAUAGUAUUACACAUCAAACCCAACAUUCAAGUGCAUCAAUCAAUUUAAAAAAAGGGGGUAAAUAUAUAACAAAAAAAGAAGCAUUCUUUUCCAAAAUCACAUCUCGAAACUCAGUUAUUGAGAGUUCAUUUGAUUCACA